UACGGAGGGGGCUAGCGUUGUUCGGAAUUACUGGGCGUAAAGGGCGCGUAGGCGGCUUAUCAAGUCAGGCGUGAAAUUCCCGGGCUCAACCUGGGGGCUGCGCUUGAUACUGAUUGGCUUGAAUGCGGGAGAGGAUAGUGGAAUUCCCAGUGUAGAGGUGAAAUUCGUAGAUAUUGGGAAGAACACCGGUGGCGAAGGCGGCUAUCUGGCCCGUAAUUGACGCUGAGGCGCGAAAGCGUGGGGAGCAAACAGG
rnacentral:rRNA from 1 species